UUACCCUGGGAGACCGGGGAUCCUCUUCGGAGGCGUGCACACAGGUGCUGCAUGGCUGUCGUCAGCUCGUGUCGUGAGAUGUUGGGUUAAGUCCCGCAACGAGCGCAACCCACGUCCUUAGUUGCCAUCAUUGAGUUGGGCACUCUAGGGAGACUGCCGGUGAUAAGCCGCGAGGAAGGUGUGGAUGACGUCAAGUCCUCAUGGCCCUUACGGGAUGGGCUACACACGUGCUACAA
rnacentral:rRNA from 1 species